ACACUUCAAUGGGGGCUAUAUGCAAAAACACCCGUGUACUUAGAUUUAUGUGCACGUUCAAAGAACCCCAGGUGGUCCAAAUUUCCUGAGUCCCCCACUACAGCGUGCCUCAUAAUCAGAAAGUGGUUUAGCAUGUAGAACCCCAUAAUUUUGUCUUUUUUUUUGCCUCCCACACUAUGUCACAAGAAUCUGCGAACACCACAGGCUGGAGGUAGGACCACGUCCUGACCGCCACUGAGGUCUUGAAGCUCGGGCCCGCCGCCUGCCAGCUUCGCUUCUCUGCCCAGUGCUCCUGACGUCUUGAGAUGUAUCCAUGCCUCCUACAAAACACGCAGGAAGUUCUGUUGUUCGGACUUUACAAGUAAUCCAUCUAACCAGCUUCUUCUCAGAAAGCAACCGUUUGUUGGUUCUGUUACAUGAAGCGGUACUUUGAUCUAGGAUGGAUUUACCAUUGUGAUGUUGAUGUGACUGUUUACUGAUUGUAAUGUAUGCUUCUCUAGUCUGGAACAAGGCUAAUGCAAGUUCACCUGCUGCUUCAUAAUUGAAUUGAAAUCAUCAAGAAAAUGAAGUUUUAUUGCAUUGAGUGAUAAGUAAUUAUAAUGAUAAAAAAGAGACUGCAAUAUACUAUUAGAGAAUGUAAUUUAUAGUACACGGAAUGUUGCCUAUCUUCAGAGAUCUGUUCAAAAAUUUGUACAUGUGUGGUUGUGUCAGUGACAGAAGCACUGAUUGGUGAAUAAUUUAUCUUCAUUACUCAGUAGUUUCAUUUUGCUUUUCCUGAAGCAAUGGAAAAAUUAUUUGAAAAAUUAUUACAAUGCACAAAUAAAGAGACAAUCUUUUGUUUAAUGCACAGAAA
rnacentral:lncRNA from 1 species